GCGCAAGUGGCGUACCUGGUUAAUGGCGGCAGCUUGGCUGCCUCUCUCCUUCCCUGUUUGUUCCUGUGCUUCAAGCAUCACCGAACCCCCAGUUCUAGAGGCCUAGAGUGAGGAAGACUGCAUAUAUAUUUCCAGUGUGGUUUGGGGAAAAAAAACAAACGCACAACAGUGACCAUCUUCUCAGAUCAGCUGGCUAAGCGUGCCAGACAACAUUGUGCAAUGUUCUGUUUCAGACAUUGGUGAGCACCAAAUUUACAGUAAGG